rnacentral:rRNA from 1 species
AUUGAACGCUGGCGGCAUGCCUUACACAUGCAAGUCGAACGGCAGCACGGGAGCAAUCCUGGUGGCGAGUGGCGAACGGGUGAGUAAUAUAUCGGAACGUGCCCGGUCGUGGGGGAUAACGUAGCGAAAGCUACGCUAAUACCGCAUACGAUCUACGGAUGAAAGCGGGGGAUCGCAAGACCUCGCGCGAUUGGAGCGGCCGAUAUCAGAUUAGGUAGUUGGUGAGGUAAAGGCUCACCAAGCCGAUGAUCUGUAGCUGGUCUGAGAGGACGACCAGCCACACUGGGACUGAGACACGGCCCAGACUCCUACGGGAGGCAGCAGUGGGGAAUAUUGGACAAUGGGCGAAAGCCUGAUCCAGCAAUAGCCGCGUGAGUGAUGAAGGCCUCGGUU